UACAGAGGGGGCUAGCGUUAUCCAACGUUACUGGGCGUAAAGAGCGUGUAGGCGGCCAUACAGGUCAGCUGUGAAAACUCGAGGCUCAACCUCGAGACGUCGGUUGAAACCGUAUGGCUAGAGUCCGGAAGAGGAGAGUGGAAUUCCCGGUGUAGCGGUGAAAUGCGCAGAUAUCGGGAAGAACACCCAUGGCGAAGGCAGCUCUCUGGGACGGUACUGACGCUGAGACGCGAAAGCGUGGGGAGCAAACAGG
rnacentral:rRNA from 1 species